GCCGGAUGCGGAGCACCUGUGUCGGCCCCGCCCGGGCCCUCGCCUCCGCCCCCUCGCGCCCCGCCCCUCCUAGCAGGCCGAGCCGAGGAGGGCUCCGCCGCCCACCCGGAACCCGGCGGGGACUGCCGCCGCUGCUAGCCACAGCUGCCCCCUGGGGGGCCAGAGACCUAAGCCUGAGCGCGCCAUCACCUAAGUGACCCUUGCCGAGUCACUGUCUGCCCUGGGCCUCAGUUUCCCUCUUAACGAAAGAAGGCACGAUUUACAAGCCCCUGCAAGCGGCGGCGAUCGCUUCGUCAGUACAGCCUCGUGUCCGCGCUCCUUCUCUUCCAGUGAUCUCUCCAGGGCGAGAGCCUGCCCUGCAUCCUUGGUCGGAACCGUAGCCCCCGGGCUCCAGGAGGCGCACUCACUUUAGACCCACUGCUCCGUGCGCUGCAGAGGGGGCCGCGAGAGUCAGGACAUUCCAGAAAGUUCCAAAGACAUCACUGGUCCUCUUUGGACCGGAAUUCUCCGGAGAAACCGCUUCCGGCGCUCCUGACACACCGAGAUAGAAAGUUUCACAGAAAUAGGGCAAGGGAUAGGGCGAGGGCUCCAGAGCAGGCGUCCUAGGGCACCUGGCGCAGGGGCGGACCGGAAACCCCAGGCAAACGCAGAGGCGGAGAUGGCAUUCCAGGCGGGAGAUCAAGCAAAGGCAGAGAGGGAGGACGGCACCGGGCGGCUCCCUCUGACCAGGACUGAGGAUGAUGCGACCUGAUACCGCCGGAGGGAAGCCUGGGCCCGCUGAGCAAGAUAAGAACCUGAAACCCAGAAUAGUGCCCAAGGGAGUGGGUGUCUGGAGGCCCUUUCAUAUUUCAAAACUGUCAACCAUAAGAAAAUGAAGGCAUCUUUCAAGAGACUUGGAACAGAAACUUCUGCUGCCUAAAAUCUCUCUCCCUAAACUUUCUGUUGCAGAUGAGACUGAAGCUCAAAGAAGUUAAGUAACUUGCCAAAAGACUCCCAGCUAAAAGUGUGAGAGCAAAGACUCAAACCAAGGCAGUCUUCUGGUUUCAGAACCUGAAGUCUUAACCAGGUGAGAAUAAAACUUCCAGCAUGCUUAUGUGUGUGCUUAUCUGUGAAUGACCCCAGAGCUGACUGCAGAUAUUGAGAGAAGAGGUAACUUUGACCAAAUGCAGUCAUGACCUCAGGUGUGGGCAAGUCCUUGCUCCCUACCUGGACUUGGCUAGGCCUGCAGGUCAUACAGGAAGAACAGUCCCUCUGAAGGUGACCAUAAUCCACAGGGCAGGGUGUGGAAAGUGACAGAGGUGAAUUUAUUAAAUGACUUGGUCAAGUCCCCACAGCUGGUCACUGGCAGAAGCAGCAGAAACAAAUAGGCAGCAUUAUCUAUUCUCCCAGUCAACAAACAGCCUUUGAGCCCAGCUAUGCCUGGCACUGUCUCUGCAGUCAAGCCCCAGACUUACAAUACUGAUUUUAAGUCCAACUAUAUAAUUAGCUGGACUACAUUUUAAAUAUAUGUACUAGGGAGACAGGAGGGACCCUAUAGUCUUUUAUAUGCUCAAGUGUUCAGUGCUUCUGCAGGAGGCAGAGAGCUAAAAGAAGAGAGAAGUUUGAUGGGAGAAAAUAAUUUCCUGGUUGCAAAAGAUAAGAAAAGGAAUUCACUCAGGAACUCAAGACCACAAGGUAGACACACACAGUCUCUGCUCAAGUUUUGCCAAGCUCUGUACAGAAGAAACCAUGUUCUUUGUUUUUUCAAGUUCCUUUUAAGUGGGAUAAAAAAGUGGAUUGGGCCAGGCACGGUGGCUCAUGCCUGUAAUCCCAGCACUUUGGAAGGCCUAGGCAGGCAGAUCAUGAGGUCAGGAGAUCGAGACCAUCCUGGCUAACAUGGUGAAACCCCGUCUCUACUAAAAAUACAC